UACAGAGGGGGCAAGCGUUGUUCGGAAUUACUGGGCGUAAAGGGCGCGUAGGCGGCCUUCUAAGUCGACCGUGAAAUCCCUGGGCUCAACCCAGGAACUGCGUCCGAUACUGGAAGGCUUGAAUCCGGGAGAGGGAUGCGGAAUUCCAGGUGUAGCGGUGAAAUGCGUAGAUAUUACAAGGAACACCAAUGGCGAAGGCAGCUUGCUGGGCCUUUUCUGACGCUGAGGUACGAAAGCGUGGGGAGCGAACAGG
rnacentral:rRNA from 1 species